AUUGAACGCUGGCGGCAGGCCUAACACAUGCAAGUCGAGCGGAUGAAGGGAGCUUGCUCCUGGAUUCAGCGGCGGACGGGUGAGUAAUGCCUAGGAAUCUGCCUGGUAGUGGGGGAUAACGUCCGGAAACGGGCGCUAAUGCCGCAUACGUCCUGCGGGAGAAAGUGGGGGAUCUUCGGACCUCACGCUAUCAGAUGAGCCUAGGUCGGAUUAGCUAGUUGGUGGGGUAAAGGCCUACCAAGGCGACGAUCCGUAACUGGUCUGAGAGGAUGAUCAGUCACACUGGAACUGAGACACGGUCCAGACUCCUACGGGAGGCAGCAGUGGGGAAUAUUGGACAAUGGGCGAAAGCCUGAUCCAGCCAUGCCGCGUGUGUGAAGAAGGUCUUCGGAUUGUAAAGCACUUUAAGUUGGGAGGAAGGGCAGUAAGUUAAUACCUUGCUGUUUUGACGUUACCAACAGAAUAAGCACCGGCUAACUUCGUG
rnacentral:rRNA from 1 species